rnacentral:misc_RNA from 1 species
AAGAGAGUCGGGAAACCGAUGACUCCACACUAUGAGUUAAGGCGAGAGCUGUGGGGGGUUUUAGUAUGUACGUAUGUACGUAUUGUACUUAUAUAUUACCCGAAACACCACACAAUCGUGUAUUUACACAUGUA